UACGUAGGGUGCAAGCGUUGUCCGGAAUUAUUGGGCGUAAAGAGCUUGUAGGCGGUUUGUCGCGUCUGCUGUGAAAUUUCGGGGCUCAACCCCGAACUUGCAGUGGGGUACGGGCAGACUAGAGUGUGGUAGGGGAGACUGGAAUUCCUGGUGUAGCGGUGAAAUGCGCAGAUAUCAGGAGGAACACCGAUGGCGAAGGCAGGUCUCUGGGCCACUACUGACGCUGAGAAGCGAAAGCGUGGGGAGCGAACAGG
rnacentral:rRNA from 1 species